GGGGAUGUAAGGCAGUCGAUGGAAAAGUACCUUGAAAUACUGCAAGCCAAGUUUGACCGACACUUGUCAAAAAGGGUCGAAAAACAAAAGCUAAUCGAAAAGAUUACGCUCCAGCCUACGCUUUUGCAGCUUAAGCUGGCAUCCUGAGGUUUGUUUCUCAACCGAGCCGAUUGGGUGUAAACCAGUUGGGAUUUAGCUAUUAGCUUAUGGUUUUUAGCUUUUAGCUGAAAAACAAAAGCCUUACUUUAAAUCUUUUUGUUGCUUUUUAAAAUUUAAAGAAAAUAACCAAAGCAAAUAAGCUUGUAGAAAGUAUUUCGAGAUUUUUCCAGAUCCGGGCUCAACUCCCGGCAUCUCCACAC
rnacentral:tmRNA from 3 species